GAUGAACGCUAGCGGCAGGCCUAACACAUGCAAGUCGAGGGGCAGCACGAGGUAGCAAUACUUUGGUGGCGACCGGCGCACGGGUGAGUAACGCGUAUGCAACCUACCCUUAACAGGGGGAUAGCCCGGAGAAAUUCGGAUUAAUACCCCAUAAGAUCACACAUUCGCAUGAUAGAGUGAUUAAAAUUACGGUGGUUAAGGAUGGGCAUGCGUGACAUUAGCUAGUUGGUGAGGUAACGGCUCACCAAGGCUGCGAUGUCUAGGGGGGCCUGAGAGGGUGAUCCCCCACACUGGUACUGAGACACGGACCAGACUCCUACGGGUGGCAG
rnacentral:rRNA from 1 species